UACUAUUUUAGUGUCGUAAUUUCCUCAACACAAGUUAUGCUUAGAACAUCUUUAGCUGUAAAUCUCUUUAAAGAUUUUUUAAGAUCUCGAUUAAGUAAUAUCUCUUUACUUUAUAAAUCCUGUUGCCUAUCUAGCUACAAAAAGUCAGUUUUGUCCCUCUAUAUUUUCACUAAUUUCUUUAUACGGCCACUCAUCGCCACGUGUUUCUCUCCCUACCACAAACCCCAUCGUCGUCUCACAUACACCACAUUCCAUUAUCAUCUUAUUCAAAUAUCAAAUCACCGUUCAAAUUCUCUCUCUGCGCGUUGUGCCCCUUUUUUCUAGGAUUUCAAGCUCCGCUCCGCCGCCGAGAAAUCAAUUUUCUGAUUAAAUCUAUCUCUCCAACAGAGCUAGUAUCAGGCUUGAAAAGAUGAUCUUGCUGUUCAUGGUUAAGCAGUAUUUUGCAGCAUGCUUUGUAAUUUUUUGAUGAAAGUCCUGACACAAGUUUCUGAUUUUCACUUUGUAGAUUCAAUAUUUUGCCGAGGUCACGAGUUGAGGUGAUGAAGUGAUUUUCUAUCAUUUUAGGUUGGUUUUGGUGCAUUAUUUGCAAGAAUAGAGAAUUAUGGAUUCAUCACGACUUGGGAUUUUGUGGGUACAUCUUCUACAAACCCUCACGAGAGCACACUCGUCCACUAGAGCUAUCUAGGGGUUUAAAGGGCUUGUUGCAUAUGCUAAAUGCAACCGUGAUCACCUACGGAAGUGGUACUAGAAGCGAGGAAGGACAUGCACGCGAGAACGAGCGAGAAACGAAGAAACGAGGCUGCCAUGACAGACAGUAGCGCGCCCGCGCUAACUUGUAGCGCGCCCGCGCUACAGUCUGCAACACUAGCGCGCCCGCGCUAGUGUAGCGCGGUGGCGCCCCACAGAAACUUCCCGGGCCGAUUUUUACAGCUUUUCUGAUGGAUUUUCGCAGCGGUCGAGGCCCGGUUGACUUAGUCAAUGCAUUUUUAUUUCUCGUGUGUAAAACCCUAGCCGUAUAGUAGUAGUUUGAGAAGUAGAGAACAAUAUCGUAGUUUUCAGUUUAAUCAUUCAAGCACAAUAUCAGUUUGUAUUAGAUCGUUCUUCGCGCGGAAGUGACAGUUUCGAGCGAGAUCGUGAACAUCAAAUCUGUAACGUGUGAUCUUUAUUAUUAAUUCAAGCAUUUUUAUUCUAUUUAA